rnacentral:rRNA from 1 species
GUUAGGAAUCUUCCACAAUGGGGGCAACCCUGAUGGAGCAACACCGCAUGCUGGAUGAAGGCCUUCGGGUCGUAAACAGCUUUUGUAUACGAAGAAUAUGACGGUAAUAUACGAAUAAGGGUCGGCUAACUACGUGCCAGCAGCCGCGGUCAUACGUAGGACCCAAGCGUUAUCCGGAGUGACUGGGCGUAAAGAGUUGCGUAGGCGGCUUAUUAAGCGAGUAGUGAAAUCUGGUGGCUCAACCAUCAACAAAUUGCUCGAACUGAUAGGCUUGAGAAUGGUAGAGGUAGUUGGAAUUUCUUGUGUAGGAGUGAAAUCCGUAGAUAUAAGAAGGAACACCAAUGGCGUAGGCAGACUACUGGACCAUUUCUGACGCUGAGGCACGAAAGCGUGGGGAGCGAACCGGAUUAGAUACCCGAGUAGUCC